rnacentral:rRNA from 1 species
UACGGGGGGAGCAAGCGUUGUUCGGAUUUACUGGGCGUAAAGGGCGCGUAGGCGGCCAGCGCAAGUCGGUUGUGAAAUCUCCGGGCUUAACUCGGAAAGGUCAACUGAUACUGCGCGGCUAGAGUGCAGAAGGGGCAACUGGAAUUCUCGGUGUAGCGGUGAAAUGCGUAGAUAUCGAGAGGAACACCUGCGGCGAAGGCGGCCGCCUGGUUGGAUACUGACGCUGAGACGCGAAAGCGUGGGGAGCAAACAGG